rnacentral:rRNA from 1 species
UAGGGAAUCUUCCACAAUGGGCGAAAGCCUGAUGGAGCAACGCCGCGUGUGUGAUGAAGGGUUUCGGCUCGUAAAACACUGUUGUAAGAGAAGAAUGACAUUGAGAGUAACUGUUCAAUGUGUGACGGUAUCUUACCAGAAAGGAACGGCAAAUACGUGCCAG